rnacentral:rRNA from 1 species
GGUGGGAGGCUUUGAAGCGUGGACGCCAGUUCGCGUGGAGCCAUCCUUGAAAUACCACCCUGGCAUGCUUGAGGUUCUAACUCUGGUCCGUAAUCCGGAUCGAGGACAGUGUAUGGUGGGCAGUUUGACUGGGGCGGUCUCCUCCUAAAGAGUAACGGAGGAGUACGAAGGUGCGCUCAGACCGGUCGGAAAUCGGUCGCAGAGUAUAAAGGCAAAAGCGCGCUUGACUGCGAGACAGACACGUCGAGCAGGUACGAAAGUAGGUCUUAGUGAUCCGGUGGUUCUGUAUGG